GGAUUUUUUCAUUUAUAAUUUUCUUUUUCUUUUUCACAUACAAAAUAGGAAAUACGAUAAUAAAAGACUCGACAAACUCAACUAGACUAACAAAAGACUCGACAAACUCAACUAGACUAGGAUAGACUUUGACACCACCUAAAAGAUUCUAUACUAUUGUACAAGACUAGAAAAUAAAAGGCAACAUGAAUGACAAACUCAAAACAUAAAAGUAUCCUCAAGCAACUCAUGAAUGCAGCGGUCCUGACUGGAUGGUCCUGGGGCGUCUGUCAUGCUCAAGCUCCGGCAAAUGUAUCUAUACCUGUAUGAGAAAAAUAAGACCAAAUAGAGUUAAAGACUUAGAACACUAUGUGAUACAAUAACACUUCUUAUUGGACACAUGCAAGACAUAAUUAAGGCAAUUUUUGCAAAAUGACCUAUGUGGCCAAAAGGUGGCUAGAAGUGAAAACUCAAUUAGGACGACCUCUAAAAUAUGGAAGCACAUCACGAAGGCCCAUAACCUCUCAGGAAUCGCGGUCCCUAAAGUUGCUUUGUAAAAUGACCUCACUUUGCAGAAAUGGCCUAUGUGACCGAAAAAUGGCUAAGCAUGAAAAUUCAAUAGGAAUGGACCUUAAACAGAGAGGACACCUUGUGGUAGACUUAACACUCUAAGAUAUGGGUUAACAACCCACUUUUUGCAAAAAUAUCCCUAUUUUGCAAAAAGGCCGAUGUGGCCAAACAUGGCUAGACAUGCAAGAUUUGGCUAAGACCCCGCGAAGCCAAGAACCUAAGACUCACUAGGAAGACCGGAUCCUAUGUGGGCUGCCUACGUAUCCCGCCCUGAAAGACGAGAAUAAGGUAUGCGUAGUUCGGGAAGAUUGGAUAUGGGAGAGAAUUAAAAAAUGAUUCGGAGAAAACAUAUUUUUUGUCUUUUUUUUGAAAAAUGAUGAAACAUGUAAAAUCUUUUUGGAUUUUCUUUUUCUCUUUUUUUUGAUUUUUUGUUUUUGGUAAAUGAUGGGAAAGUGCAAAAUCUUUUUGAAUUUUUCAUUUUUAUUUUUUUGAUCUUUUUCUUGAAAACGUUGUGAAAGGAAAAACAUAAUUGGGCCCUACGUGCUUCAUUUUUACACUUCACCCUCUUUUCUUUCUCAUUUACCCUAAAACCGUCAUUGGUCCGCCAAAUGACCCUUUUACCCUUAAAAAAUACAGCAUGUAGCACAUGUGGAUGAUUAAAUAUCUUUUUGGGUCAUGGGCCCGUUUUGACAUAAUUUGGAUAGGCCUCCUAUAAAGAGACACGGUGCCUGGGACCGAGCCAUGCUAAGUGUAAAUGACAUGAUACAAAUAAGCAUGACCUAAAGGCUGACCUAAGUUUGGGGGUUCACAAGACAAGGCAAUUCGGGGCGGCAUGUGGUCGAUGGUGGCUGCUCUAGCUAUCCGCCCACUCCACGCUUCCACGCCACCCCCUAAGACAUGGAUGACUCACAAAAAGGCCGUGUACGCUCAAACGUACUCCGGAAGACUUGUUGCAGAAAGAAGACCCAUGGUUAUGCAAAUGAUGACUGUUAUAAAGCGGUAAACACAUAAGGAAACACGAUAAGCAAAUAACCAACAAAACAGGAAAUAAGAUUAAAAAAACUAAAUAAACAAAGCAAAUAAAGAAAACAAACACCUCAACUGAAUAUCCUAAAAGCCAACAAGAUUAAGAAUCAGCUUGAACCUGCAACUCCCUAGCAGAGUCGCCAAAGCUGUCACAUCAUUUUUUUUACCUCACUAACCCUCUUUAAAAAGAAUAAAAGGUGAUGUUUGAAGCUCAAAAGGGUUUUGCAAUUAGAAAGUGACAAAAAUUGUGUUUUAAAAGGUUAUUGAGAGUCGCCACCUGUCAUUUGGUUUCGGUGUGGCAGGUCACCGUUUUUAAAAUAAUAUUUUUUCUUCAAAACACAUUUGACUCUAAAACUGACUGCACUAGAAAUUUCAGGUAAGGGGGUUCAUUUGACUCGGGGAGAAGGUGUUAGGCAUUUCCCGAGUCCCGUAGCUAGUACGGUUGCAUACAUGAUCAAAUUGGCUUUAAAGGAUAUUCGAAUUAAGGCAAAAAAAAAAUACAAAAGAAAAAUAAACACACAAGAGGCUCGAGGUUGUCCCCGCCUAAAUAAAAGAAAGUAAAAUAAGAGGAAAAUACUAAAGUCUAUGAUAUGCUCACUCCACGAUAUCCGUCACGGCCUCCAGAUACAUUCACUUCGGGGCAUUCCCCUUAUAAAAAUAUUUAUAAAGUCUAUGGGGCAUUCCCCUUAAUUUAAACUAAAGGGAACGACCUCUCACCUUGAAUAAAAGAAAAGAAAAGACCUAAAGUUUGCCUACCCGAGUGUUGACGGUCUAAAAAUGCUACUAGCGAAUUAAUUAAAUAAAGUAAUAAAACGAUUAAGGCUAGUUGUUGUGCCAGAUUCAUGGUUAAAGUCCAACUCUAACUUUUAAUGUCAUUUCCAGAUGAUCCAAUUGACUCAAACAAUAAGGUUUAACCACCGACCAUACUAAUCAAUUCAAAAUGAUCCAAACAAAAUAAUUUCGUAUCCUAAAUACAAAACCACUGAAUUCAAACAUCAACUUCACUUAGUCUUAAAGUUACAUUCAAGCUCUAAAUCAACUAAUUAAAAAUACGAAUGAAAUAAAAUCUAAAGAAAAUUCCAAACCCAUGUGAAAUUCAUAUCAACAGAGUGCAUUCAGGGAAGAUAACACAAAUUCAUUCACACAAUAACAAACAAUAACAGAUUUAAGGCAUAAGAGUUAGAAAUGGACCUUUACUGGAUCUAUUAGUCAAAGAGAUAAGAGAGAACCUCAGGAGUCAAAAGCUCUUUGAAUCUGAAAAUGUUUUAACACCGAAAACCUUGGAUGGCGACAACCUCGAUGGGACCUCGUCGGAGAAACUCAAAUUCGAUGACGAACUCGAACUCUACUCGACCCAGAGGACACCGAAGCUCAAAGAGCAGACCAGAACUAUGCGUUCGGAUAUUUUUGAGUUGUGCAGUAUAAUUUUUAAACUUGCUGCUCUGUUUUUGUUGUGAUGAAGUGGAACAAAAUAUAGUUACAGUACUUAGGUGAUUCACGGGGGAGAGAGGGUUAAGAAUCGAUGGUUAUGGGUGAAACAGUGGUGGGUGUUAGUGAAUUCACAUGGUAUUAAACUAAGGAAAAUGAAGAAUGAUGUAGUCUCAUGGAGAAAACGAUUGGUAAGGAUUGGGCGAGCUACAACCCUAGGGAUUUCUCCACAGUUUUCUUUCUUUUUUUUCCUCUGUCCGUGUUCUCUCGAUGGCUGCUUUAGAAUGGAGGAGUUAGGUUAGGGUUUUGGGUAUUAAUUUGGUUUUUAUAUGGUGGUGGGAAGUAAGUAUUGCCAAUUGGAUUAAACAUAAUGAGUGGUCAAGAUUUAAUCUUGCAUUUAAGUGGAGAGUGGGUUAAUGGGUUGGGAAGAAUAUGCGUUUGUCUUGCUGGGCUACUAAAAUCUGAAAAGGAGCUCCUAAUUGGCCAAAAUUUAAUUCUUUCUCAAUGAACAAAAAGAAAAAUAACAAUAAAAAUAAAAAUAUUACCAAAAUAUACUAAUUAAUCUUAAUUAAUAAGAAUAAACUAUUAAAGUGAACUAUAUAUUAAAAAUAAAAAUAUGUUUGGUAUUUUUUAAAUGUUAUAAAAAAGGUAGAGAAAACUAUGUUAAACUAAUGGUAAAAAUUAAAAUACUAAUGAGUUUAAAUAAAUAAAAAAAGGAUAAAAAUAAAAAGAUAUAUAAUAAGAGAAGAAAUAUUAUAAAACUAUUUUUUGUAUUUUUAAACUUAUGUUUUAAAAUAAAAAUUAAAAGUUGACUCAAAACCAACUCAAUCGGAGUCCGAUAGCUCAAUCAAUUUGCCAAAAUAUCGCUCUUGGAUAUUCAUAACCCAAGAGUCUAACCCAUAUGAGUUAGAUCCCAUAUCUCCCGAAAUACUCUUCCAAAACUCGCCAAAAUUGAGUAUGUUGUUCUCCGAAUAUAGGAGAACAAAACCCCAAAAGAAAUCAGGAAAUAAACGCCACUAUCUCAUUUUCAAUUUUUAAAAUUUAGGACAUAACACUAGGUCUUGAUUUACAAAAUUAAAUGGGUUUUCAAUUAAAAUCAUGGAUUAAAUCUUAAACCAAGGGAUAUCAAAGGGAAAUACUUAGGUUAUGGUUUAGACAUUACCCCAUGGAAGAAACUUCAAGAAUACCUUUGAAUUCUCCUAAUCCCAAACUUUCAAUAUGAGAAAAACUCCAACAACAUUAAUAGCCAAAAAUGUGCAGCUAUUCUGCCUUGUUUCAUAUGUCAAAUGAUCCCGAAACUUACUGUUGAUAUCUCCAAUGGGUUCCUCGUGAAAUUCCAGUCAAGUUAGGCUUUUGAAUCACUCCAUUUGACCUUAUAAUGAAGGAGAUAUGUUGGUUUCAAUAUUUGGAAAUAAAGGAGAUGUUUAAAUACGAAUUCAGUGGCAAUUUCAUAAUUAAUCUGAAAAAUAUGGCAACCCAAUUCUUAGUAAAAUAACCAUAAAUCAUACAAUGUCGAAACUUGAUGAUUUCAGUUGCUAUGGUUCCAAAAUUACGAUACGGAUAUAAUGAUUUGUUGAAAUACGAUUCAAAGGCCGUUUGCUCAAUAUGGUAAUAUUUAUGCUCAAAUCGAUAUCGAAACUGAAAACAAUCACUAUACAACCCAAGCUUAUCCAAAACUCAUUGGAAUUUAACUAAACUUUGUGGACAUGUCCAAAAUUAUCAUACAAACUUAUUGGAAUAAUUAAAAUCUGAUUUCGAGUCUGUUUAUCCAAAAGUCAAACCUUGGUCAACUAUUCCAACUUAGAGCUUCUAAAACGAGAAUCAUUCUUCCAAAUCAAUCCCGAACUUCUUGAAAACUGAAACCAACCAUACACGUAAGCAAUAAUAUAUAAUAUAAAGCUACACAAAGUCUCAAACCAUCGAAUGAAACGCUAAACUCAAAAUGACCGGUCGGGUCGUUACAAAAACCUAAUGUGAUGAAUUUUCUCUUAAACAAAAGUCUUAGUUGGAUGAAUCUUUCUCCUAAGAUAAAAAGCCUUAAUCUGAUGAAUUUUCUCCUAUGAGAAUUUAAAAGGAAGAAGUAUGGAUUUAAAAAAACAAUCAAUUGUUCAUGCCUUCAGAAAAUAAACGUUGGAGAAAUUUGUUUAAACAUGAUGAUUUUCUCAAAAACAAAAUACAAAUAAACAAAAAACACACAAAACAAAUUCUUCUUGUUCCGUGUUAGCAUAGGGUAUACCAUUCUAUAGCGGCAGUUCUCAACGUAGGAUACGCCAGUCCCUAGUUGUGUCUUUCUUUUGACAUAGGAUACACCAUUCCCUAGUAGUAUUUUAAAGGGCACACCACUCCUUGAUGCUUUCUUUGCUCUUAAUAAAUAAAUAAAUAAAUAAACUAGUUUACAUCUUUUGCUAAUAACUCACAAAAAUUUUCUAGUGCAAAAUCAUUUGUUUGUUUUGUUGUUUGUGAUGUUGUGCAAGUUUUUCCGCAGAACACAAGUUUAAUGUCCAAGAAUGAAGUUCCAAAAUCUGAUAGGAAAAAAAAGUUGUUCGAGCACAAAGACAAUUGGGGACAAGAUUUGAUGUGAUGCACUCAUCGACCAACAUCUCUAAUCCAUCUUAUCACCUUCUGAUCAAGAAACAAGCAUCCAAGAAUCAAUCCAAGUCUCAAUUCAAGACAAAGUUCAACCUUUAAGAAUCAAUCUCCAAACUCAAAGCGUCCAUCGUCCAAUGCGGGACAACAAGCCUCAAAUUCAAGGCACUCACCUUCAAAUGCGGGCUUCAAAUUCAAGGGACCCACCUUCCAAUGCGGGUUUACGGGAUCUCAAGUGAAGAUACGAGACACAAGGCAAAAAGAGUAGAUCUUGUAUGUAAUUUUAAAUGUAAUUUUUUUCAUUUUGAAAUAAUAAACAAGACCGGAGCCUCGACGAAACCUCAGUGGACUCUCCAACUCAUCAUUCCAUCACUUUCUUGAACUACACGUGACAUGAUUCUCUUAUGACCCGAGAUAUGUAGGUUGUCUAGCUAAGACUCGGUCACACACUUUCCUUUUUCUUUUUCUUUUUGAAUACCAGUUUGGUAAAACAUUAGUCACUCUUUUUAAGUUCUUUGAUUGAAAACUCUUCAUGUUUUCAAGCAAAGAUGGGCAUGCUGUGAGUACCUAAUUUUUUACUACACUCGGGUUUUCAAUAAUUUUUUAGUGCUUAAUAUUUUCUAGUCUUAAUUUUGAUAUUUUAGCUCUUAUAUGUUUUACUAGGCUUUAUUAGAGAAUACAUAAUAUUUUUAACAUAGUCUACAAGCAUAUAGAAAUCAAAAGACUUUAUUUUAAACUUGGAUAAAAGUCUAAUCUUGUCUCAUCUCCACUCACUACACUAUUCGCUUGUCACAUCCCACUCUCCUUUCACUAUUCCUUUAUCCCAUCACCAUCUCCAUCUUCUUAUACUCUUUUUUUUUUAAUUAUUAUUAUUAUUAUUAUUAUUUAUACGCACACAAGGCAGAAAACAGAACGGAUUGGAGAGAACACAAAAAAUGACCUCUAUUUUCUUCCUUCAAAAUAGCUCUAACUUUGCCCCCUUUCUUCUCCAAAAAACUCCACCUCACAACCACCAUUGAAAUGCCUCUAAAACCAGCCAUGAAUCCCCUCUAAACUGCCCCAAAACGCAGCCUAAACAUCCACUAAAAACAUCCCAAAAACAGUUGUAAAUCAGUCCAAAAAUGACCCCAAAACCACCAAAGACCUACUGCUUUUUUCCACCCAAAAUGACCACCUAAGCUCAGUCAAAAACCCAGCUCCAAAGUCAUUUAUUUUCUUAUUUAAAACUGCUACGAAUCAGCAGUUUAAAAAAGCAGAACAAAUGGAUCUUUCAUCUCAUGUUUUGAGUUUGAAGUAGUCGGAGAUUAGGCUCGCGAGUACGAAAUUGUGAGGUGGAAUAUUUUUGUGUUCUGUUAACUUUGUUUUUAAGGACAUAAGUGCUUAAUUAUGAUUUUUGAACCCCAAAACUACAAGAAUGAAGAAUGCUAAAUGUUUUGCCGUGGAAAUCCUUUUCAUUUGGUUUAUUUCAUGUUCGUUCGUGUCCUUAAAAUUUGGAAACUUUAUAGGAUCUUUGCAUCUGUUUCUUCCAAGCAGUAAAUCAUUUCUCAUGCUAAAAUUUUUCAUUAGAAUAGGUGUUUGACUUUAACAAUGAUAUUUUAAUUAGUAAAUAUAUAGGCAUGAAUUGUUGUGUUGUAAGGAUAACUUUAGUUUUAAGUAUCUUUUAAAAUAAAUUCAUACUAAAAUUAUUCAUUUCUUCCACAAUAACAUCAUAUCCACGUGACCUUACAAUAAUCUCAAAUUAGUUUAGAAAAAUAAUUCAAGUGCGCCAGUUGCUUUAGGAGGGCUUUAAAUAAUUAAAUAUCAUGGUUAUGGAUACGGUUCUCAUGGCAUAGCUGCGAUACAUAAACCCAAGUUCAAGUGCACAUUUGUGUGCUUUGACCCUCAACUUCGAAUAGGUAACAAAAAUAUGCUAUAAAUUACGGGUGCGUUUCACGUGAUGCGAUUUGUAAUGUGUACAAAACGAUAAUUAUACGACAUCGUAACUUGUUUUAAAUAAUUUUCAUAUGUGUUAAAAAUAUAAAAUCAAAAGUGAAAAAGGUAAAAACACACAAUAGAUGUAAAACAUGAAAUAAUAAGAUAAUUAAGCCAAGUUUAAUUGUGAAGCGUCCGUGCUAAAAUCACAAAAUCUAGGAGUGCCUCGCACCUUCUCCCAGGUUAAUAAAAUUCAUUACCCGGUCUUCUGUGUUUCGCAGACUUUAAACAAAGUCAAAUGUUUCCUUGAAUUGGGAUUUAAAAUAAAUCGGUAACUUGAAACACCGAAAUUAAUUUAUUCCAAGUGGCGACUCUGUAGAAAUAAAUAAAACCAACCCCUUUUCAAAUAAUGUCACUUUAAUUGAAAAAAACUCCUUUCUUUCCUUUCCCAGGAAAAAGGAGGCGUAACAACUCUGGCGACUCUGCUGAGGACAUUCAAUAAUUCGAGCUUGUACAUUGACAUUAUUUGUCUUUAUUAAUUUGUGUAUAUACUAUGAUUAAUUUGGGUCUAGUGUACUACUUAUCUGCUUUUUACCGCUUUUGUAACGAUCCGACUGGUCAUUUUGAGCUUUAGCACGUCGUUCGGUAGUUUGAGGCCUUGCGUAGCUUCACUUCAUAUUUAAUGACUUUACACGUAGUCGAAAUCGAAUUUCGAAAAGUUCAGAGUUGAUUCAGAUGAAAAAAUCUGAAUUCAGAAGUUUUAAGUUAGAAGAGUUGACCAAUGUUUGACUUUUGAGUAAAUGACCUCAGAAUCGAUAUUUGAAUGUUCCAAUAGGUUCGUAUGAUGAUUUCGGACUAGGGCGUAUGUUCGGGUUGAGUAUCGGGUGGUCCAGAAGCAUUUCAGGGCUUAUUGUGAAAAGUUGACAUUUUGAAGGUUUUAGAAUUUCCUAAGAUUGAUUUGAAGUGAACUUCGAUUUUAUUGAUGUCCGUUUGGGAUUUCGAGUCUUGGAAUAGGUUCGUAUCAUGAUUUGUGAAUUGUACAUAAAGUUUUGCGUCAUUCCGGAAUGUUUAAGUGUAAUUCAGACUCGUUCGGCGAAGUUCGAAAGUUCAAAGAGGUAUAUAGAUCAUUGAUUCAUAGUUUGAAUAUUGUUUGGUGUGAUUUGAGGCCUCGAGCAAGUUUGCAUCAUGUUUUGGGAAUGGUUAGUAUGAUUGGACGGGGUCUCGGGGAUCUCGGGUGUGUUUCGGAUGGGCUACGGGUUAUUUUGCCAUGUUUGAGCUGCUGUUUUUGAGAUCGGGAAGAAAGGGCCGCGAUCGCGAAGAGAAAAAUGUUGUUCCAGGCUUUGUGAAUCGCGAUCGCUCAAGGAAAUUCGCGAUCGCGUAGAAGGAUUUUUUGCUGUUAGUGGUCUGACUUCGGGAGCUUAUAUAUUGCAAUGUAUAAAGAAUUUGGGGAUGAUCCAAAAAUAAAAAUCAAACCGUUUAUCAUUUGAAAUUUUGUAGCCCUUUGAAUCUAGUUUUCAGAAAAUCAAACCGUUUGUCAUUUGGAAUCUGGUACAAAACGUUAUGCCCAUUAUAUCGAAGGGUGUCUGUGAAGAGGAAACAAAAUUUGCACAUCGCGAUCGCGAUGAAGGAAAACGAUGUUGUAACUUUUGUUAAUCGCGAUCGCAUGGAUAAUGACUGCGAUCGUGUAGGAGGCAUAGAAGGUGUAUUCAACAUCUAAUUUCAGGAUUUUGAGCACAUUUCAACACUUUUAAGUUCUAAGAGCUCAUGUGGGAAAAUUAGGGGUGAUUCUUGAAGAUUGUUUUCACUAUAUAUCAUAAGGUAAGUUAUUCCUACUUAUUUUGAGUUAAAUACAUGGGUUAUAUAUGGAUUUUAACAUGGAAAUUUGAUAAAAAUUAUGGAAGUUUUGGAAGAAAAAUCUAGAAAUGGUAAUUUUAGAUUUUGACCACGAAAUUGGACAUGGAAUUAGAAAUAAAAUAUAUAUUUGAGUUCAUGGUAUUAUGGGUAAUGUUUAUCUUUGAAUAUUUCCGUAAUCCGGGCAUAUGGGCUUGAGGGUUAAUUUUGUUGACUUUUUGAGCGGAGUUGGAAAUAAUUAUAAAUUGUUAAAUUGUAAGCAUUAUAGUAUAUUUUGAUUGAUUUUCACGUUGUUUGACUAGUUUUUUAUCGUUUGGCUUUGAGUCGAGGAGUUAGAGAGGCAUUGGAGCCGGUUAUGAAACUUUGGAGCAAGGUAAGUCUCCUGUCUAACCUUGUGAGGGGGAAAUUACCUAUAGAAGUUAUUCUUGUUUUAUGCUACAUGUUGUGCGAGCUACACACGUAUGAGGUGACGAGUGUCCGUGCGCAUGCGAGAAUUCCUGAUUAUACCCGGGUGGACUAGAAUUUACGCCGUGCUUUAUUUGUACUAGUUAAGUUAUUCUUGCCUUCUUGGUUACUUGAUUUCGCGUUACGACCUGACACUAGGCUUGCGUAGAGUGAUGGACUCGCUAUUGUAAGAGAUCUAACAAGCUCCUUGAUUAGCCGCGGAAAAAUUAUGCUUCCCUUAUGAAUUUCUCUCGCAUUGUGCGUUUUCAUCAAAAAGCAUCUUUAAAUUACAUAACUCACAUGUAUAUUCAUGAGUGGGGUCAAGGACCCGUUAAAUCUUCUUAUUCUAAUGGGAUCGGGUCGUUCGCCUCGGCGGAAUUAUUUACCAUACUUUUAUGGGAUCGGGUCGUUCUCCUCGGCAGGAUAUUGUAACACACUCUUAUGAGAUCGGAUCGUUCGCCUCGGCAGUAUCAUAUUCUAAUGGGAUCGGAUCGUUCGCCUCAGUAGUAUCAUAUUCUUAUGAGAUCGGACCAUUUGCCUUAGCAAUAUUAUAUUCUUAUGGGAUCAGGUCGUUCGCCUCGUUAGUACUAUGUAUCACAUUCUUAUGAGAUCGGGCAGUUUGCCUCGGCAUUGAUAUAAAACACUCCUACGGGAUCGGCUUGUUCGCCUCGGCUACUUCACAAAAUACUUUUAUUUGAUCGGGCCAUUCACCUCGGAGUAAUUGUGUGUAAUAUUUGACAAAAAACCAGUGUAUCCAUGAGUUUUCCUGAUUUGAGUUUGCCUACCCGAGUGUUGACGGUCUAAACAUGCUACUAGCGAAUUAAUUAAAUAAUGUAAUAAAACGAUUAAGGCUAGUUGUUGUGCUAGAUUCAUGGUUAAAGUCCAACUCUAACUUUUAAUGUCAUUUCCAGAUGAUCCAAUUGACUCAAACAAUGAGGUUUAACCACCGACCAUACUAAUCAACUCAAAAUGAUCCAAACAGAAUAAUUUCGUAUCCUAAUUACAAAACCACUUAAUUCAAACAUCAACUUCACUUAGUCUUAAAGUUACAUUCAAGCUCUAAAUCAACUAAUUAAAAAUACGAAUGAAAUGAAAUCUAAAGAAAAUUACAAACCCAUGUGAAAUUCAUAUCAACAGAGUGCAUUCAGGGAAGAUAACCCAAAUUCAUUCACAUAAUAACAAACAAUAACAGAUUUAAGGCAUAAGAGUUAGAAAUUGACCUUUACUGGAUCUAUUAGUCAAAGAGAUAAGAGAGAACCUUAGGAGUCAAAAGCUCUUUGAAUCUGAAAAUGUUUUAACACCGAAAACCUUGGACGGCGACAACCUCGAUGGGACCUCGCCGGAGAAACUCAAAUUCGACGACGAACUCAAACUCUACUCGACCCAGAGGACACCGAAGCUCAAAGAACAGACCAGAACUAUGCGUUCGGAUAUUUUUGAGUUGUGCAAUAUAAUUUUUAAACUUGCUGGUCUAUUUUUGUAGUGAUGAAGGGGAACAAAAUAUGGUUACAGUAUUUAGGUGAUUCACGGGGGAGAGAGGGUUAAGAAUCGAUGGUUAUGGGUGAAACAUUGGUGGGUGUUAGUGAAUUCACAUGGUAUUAGACUAAAGAAAAUGAAGAACGAUGUAGUCUCAUGGAGAAAACGAUUGGUAAGGAUUGGGCGAGCUACAACCCUAGGGAUUUCUCCGCAGUUUUCUUUUUUUUUUUCCUCUGUCCGUGUUCUCUCGAUGGCUGCUUUAGAAUGGAGGAGUUAGGUUAGGGUUUUGGGUGUUAAUUUAUUUUUUAUAUGGUAG
rnacentral:lncRNA from 1 species